ACAGUAUGUCUGUUUUUCUGUGAAUCCAAACUGUUUGAAUCAACUUUGUCAAUCAAUUUCAGUGAGAUCAGGCUCAUUCCAUCCUUUUCUCAGAUGAAGGAACGGGGUCUGCCUCAAUGUGACUUGAAAUACAUCUCUAUAAAUGAUUGCAAAAUGCUACAGUUAUUGUACAGCAAGUUAUUGAAUGAUAAUAUACUAGCUCAGCAUAGUUCUUUGGGGGUAAAAUGAAAGACGAGUAAGGUAUAAUCAAGAUAUCCUUACAGUAUUUCUAAGCUUAACACACACAUGUUCAUGUUUACAUGCUGAGAAUUUUUGGCCGCUGUGAUCAUUCCUCAUGUUCUUACUAUUAAUAAAACAUUCCUCUGUAAUAUGACAGUAGUGUAGCUAAAAUAACUAAAAUGUGAGCAGCCAAAAAAAAAUAGUUUCCCAAACGUUUCAGAACUUUAAAGGAUGCUCUCACAUAUGCAUGACAGUUCAACAAGCUACAAAAUGAUGCACUGUUGUAUUUUAGUAGUGGUCAGAUAUGAAAUCAAAGUAUUUUCCAGUUACAAUCUUUGUAGUGCAGAAUACUCAUGAUUCUGGUUUAGCCACCCAUGAAAAGUGCUACCUAGGAAAAUGUACCCCAGAUUGUUCUGAACCAUAAACUAUCAUAAAAUAAUGAUAAUAAAAAAUGAUAAUCAUAGUAACCAAUGAUUUCCUCGUCGUCAACAUGUAAUUAUUGUUGAAAGGCUUCAAAAAUCAUUACAUUAAUAAUAAAAAAAAAAAAUCAUGGGCAAAUGUCCUUAUCUCCAAAAUGUGCUCCUUCCAUGUCAUGUUACUGUUACAUAAUUGAAAACAGGUCCUGUUCAGAUAUCAGUUACCAAUCAUUUUUGUUAUUAGAAGUGUUAGCAUUAUUUAGAACUUUUUCCUCAUGGCAAUAUCAAGAUGUGAACAGAGAAUAAGAUGUCUGUUAAGAAUUAUUACCAUCUUUUCAUUCAUUUCAGAAUGCCCCAUUCAUCAAGGUCUAAGCGUUUUCCCCUACAAAAGGAUUCUGAGUCAAAGACUCAGAGAGGGUUGUGUCGAGGUGUUGGUGGAGUGGCAACCUUGCUCUGGAUGUGGAGCAAAGUGGAAAAACUCCUGGGAGCCCAAAGACAACGUUCUUCCUUAAAAAAAAUUGUUAAAAUUGUGUUUGUUGUGUUAUGUGACACAAAUUUGUUUUGGUAAGUUGUUUGUUUUCUGUUGUUGGGAAGGUAAUAAACAUAUUGUUUUACUUUCAAACACUUUGUCAUUGUGUUAUAUUAUUGUUGGAUGCAUUUCAUGUAAUUCUGAGAAGCAUCAGCUCGAGGGCUGAUGAAUAUUGGUACCUGAACAACACAAGCGUGAUGAGAUACUUUUGGUGCAGUCUUGUCUUUAAAACACUCCAGUUCAUGCAAAUGAACAUAGCUUCUCUCUUAAAUCUGUCUGCAAACAGCGCACAUCUUUCAUCUCUCUGCCUCUCUCCCUCUGCCACUGUCUCUAACUACCUGCCAGUCUCUCACUCUCCACCACUCUCUCUGCCACUCUCUCUUUUUCUCUCUCUCUCUCUACCUCCCUCCCACUAGCAGCUCCCCCAGGUCAGGGCAACGAGAGAAACCCAUGAUGGCGGAGAGAAAGAGAAGUCAAGG